rnacentral:rRNA from 1 species
UACGGAGGGUGCGAGCGUUGUCCGGAAUCACUGGGCGUAAAGGGCGCGUAGGCGGCGCGGAUAGUCGGCGGUGAAAGCCCGGAGCUCAACUCCGGGUCGGCCGUCGAUACUUCCGGGCUUGAGCACUGUAGAGGCAGAUGGAAUUCCGGGUGUAGCGGUGGAAUGCGUAGAGAUCCGGAAGAACACCGGUGGCGAAGGCGGUCGUGCUGGGC